UGUGUGUGUGUGUGUGUGUGUGUGAGACCGGGUGAGUGUGUCUGUGUGUUUACACCUGAGUGUUAACGUUUCUAAAUACGGGUCUGUUUGUGUGUUAGCCUACGAUGACAGACAACUGGAGGGUCACAACUAACUCUGUUUACUUUCUUAACCCUUUUUCUAACACACUGAGAAACCACUGUCCUGUAAAAUACAAGAUGGCCUACUUCCCUCAGUCUAUCCCUCCUCCCCACCUCCCCCUGAUUCAACACAGUGUGUUUGUACAGCCGUCAGUGUGUGGCCACUGCAUACAAUGGGGGUUUGACGCCGUGUCGGGUCGCCUCGUUUCCCGUUUCCUCAUCUUCUGGUUGCAUUAAACUGUCAGAACCCAGGGUUCCUUCCAGGGCCAAGUGAUGACGGUCCUCAUCUUCUGGUUGCAUUAAACUGUCAGAACCCAGGGUUCCUUCCAGGGCCAAGUGAUGACGGUCCUCAUCUUCUGGUUGCAUUAAACUGUCAGAACCCAGGGUUCCUUCCAGGGCCAAGUGAUGACGGUCCUCAUCUUCUGGUUGCAUUAAACUGUCAGAACCCAGGGUUCCUUCCAGGGCCAAGUGAUGACGGUCCUCAUCUUCUGGUUGCAUUAAACUGUCAGAACCCAGGGUUCCUUCCAGGGCCAAGUGAUGACGGUCCUCAUCUUCUGGUUGCAUUAAACUGUUAGAACCCAGGGUUCCUUCCAGGGCCAAGUGAUGACGGUCCUCAUCUUCUGGUUGCAUUAAACUGUCAGAACCCAGGGUUCCUUCCAGGGCCAAGUGAUGACGGUCCUCAUCUUCUGGUUGCAUUAAACUGUCAGAACCCAGGGUUCCUUCCAGGGCCAAGUGAUGACGGUCCUCAUCUUCUGGUUGCAUUAAACUGUCAGAACCCAGGGUUCCUUCCAGGGCCAAGUGAUGACGGUCCUCAUCUUCUGGUUGCAUUAAACUGUCAGAACCCAGGGUUCCU